AUUGAGAAGUAUGGCAGGGAGGCCUUGACUGACAGGGUUUCAAGAAAAGAGCCUGCAAAAUUAUUUUGGAGCAAAGCAUUUUAGUCUUCUCUAUAAGGCCAGUAUCCAUGGAUUCUCUGAAGAAAACGUUUUAGAGAUGCUACACCUAAGGACCAACUAUAACAGUGGUAUACAAUACAAUCAUGUUACUGGCAUCUACAUGUAAGAGAGUUACCAGCAAGAGAAGGCAGAGUACGUCAUGGUCUUUGCACUUCAAGAGACUGAAAUCUCCACGUGUAAAACAGGAUUACACUUACCAUUUGAAUUGUUUUUGGACUUUAAGACAAGAUUUCUGUUUUUACUUGAAUUCAUGCUAGAUCUACACCACAAAAAUGUGCCUGUGAGCACUAAUAAAUGUGAAAAACUUCAAAUUUCUGGGGUUUAUAGUGGUUCCAUUCAAGAGUGUGAAGUUUUUCAUUGUGAAGGUAGAUUUCCCAGAAUCAGAUAAUGCUACAGAGAGUGCUUCCCUGAAUGUUUGCUGGCUUUGAGCUAAACCAUCUCUUCUCAGGAAAAGUGACUUUUUUCUUCACCUUAUCUCUGGAUAGAUGGCCCACAUUGAAACCUGACCUCAAAUUGUCUGCUUCAUUGAGAAAUCCUGGGCCAGUGUCUCUCUAAGGACCUUGAGAUCUGCCUGUAUACAGGAGACAGAUCUUGAAGGCUGUGUAGAGGAGACUGAGCCUUCAACUGACCAAUCUGAGUUACAACUAGCCCUUGGGAACAAAUUGAGUUCGCAUGGUCCAUGUGGCUUUGUCAUUCAUGUGGAUAUUGACUGGGUAUACAGAACGACCCUCUACACAUAUACAGCUGUAAACCUGUGAUGCUCAAGCUACAGGCAGUCCAUAGAACACUUGGAAUUUGCUUUUUCUGACAUUUUUGUAGUCAGCAAUUAUGUCUCAGAGCGGGCACCGGAUCCUGAAAAAGACAUUCUGACUCUCUCUGCUGCGAGACAGACACUGUGGGCUGCAGAUGACUUUGAAGAGGGCUCCGCCACUCAAUACCAGCCUGAAGAAUAAUUGAAUUAUCAAGUGUGCAAAAGAAGAAAAUAAAUAUGUGAACUCUCAACAUAUUAAUUUUUGUCUCACCAUAGAACAAUGAAACAGAGAAAGGAGAAAACACUGGAAGAGAAUUGGCUAAGAUUACAGGGAUAUAUUUUAUUUAUGUCAAGGAUGAAGAUGCAUAUACAAAAGCACACUAUUUCUAACACCCAGGAACAACAUGAUUUGCAUAGAUCCUUACAUGAAAUUUCAGGAAGAAAUGGACCUCAUUUAUUGGACUACUGCAAAGAUGAAUUGGCCACAGAAGACAGUAAAUCUCAUUUUGGAAAAGUUAUCCUUACUAUUGAAGGCUUCUAUCAAUAUCUAUAAAACAAGAAAGUAAUUUUGAAUAAAGAAGGAAUAAAAUAGUGGAAAAAUAAUAUAAAAACACUUGUAUAUUCAUGUUAAAAAUACUCUGCAGAGAGAAUUCCAACUCCUUACAUAUUGAUGUAGAUCUCGGUGGUCUUCAGUGUUUUAGUGUUUCUGUUUCUGUGUAUCAAGUAUUCUUGAAAUUGCUUUAAUAAGAAUUAUAUUACCCCAGGGAUAGGUAGAAAUUAUAUAUUGACAAGUUCAGCAUGGGAAAUGUUCCUUCCACUAAUUUUAGAAUCUAUAGAGGAAUUACCCAUUGGUCAAUUUUCUUAGAGAAGGAUACAGAAUUCAAAAUAAGCGAGAAUUUUCUCAGGAGACUUGAAGCAGACCAGUUACAUGUUGUUGGUAAUGAGGAAACAGAAUUGCUGAGAUGUAAUAAGCUCAGAGUUUGAGGGUGAUGGGGACAGAGGAGGCACAUGACUAGCUGUGUGUUAAAGAUAAAGGCCUUCUGGAGAAGAUGGCUUCCUUGUCUAAGGUUAUCCACAGAUACUCAGUCUUAUCUGUCAUGACUAUACACAUCCUGAAUGUGACAAAAAUAAACAAAGCAAACAAACAAAGCAGUCACUAAGCAAGUUCUCAUUGACUGAGCAUCAUGUUCUGUGCUCUAAUGCAAUCUUGCUCCAUGCCUCAACACAGCAAACUCAGCAUCUUCUUAUGAGCUUAUCAAGGUUCAAGCAAUCACUAUUGCACAACACCAGAAAAAACUGGAACACUGUUGUAUGCUUUAUAGCCUGAGGUUAUUUCAUAAUGUUAAUGGGUAAGUCUAUAACUUUUUUGUGGGCCAACUAACUGUUGUAUCAAGCUUUUUGUCUUUUACUGGUUUAGGUAGUAGUCCAUCCGGAAUUGACUUUUGUUUAUAGUGUGAAGAAGGAAUUCAGGAAAGAUGUGAGGUAUUUAGAUAUCAUUUUCAUUUGACUAAUUUUGAAGAGUAAUAAACAUUCUAGGAUAGGAUUAUACUGUAGUUCAAUUUUCAUAUAUGAUUUAAAAAUAAGAAGCAACAUCACGAAGAAGUUAUUUUUAUCCUAAAAUUUACAUAGUAGUGUAAAGGAUUAAAGCUAACCAAGACAUUCUUGAAGAACAAUAAAGUAGAAAAAUAGACAUGUAUCAGAGAC
ensembl:lncRNA